CCCUUAGAUGUUCUGGGCCGCACGCGCGCUACACUGAUCAGUGCAACAAGCAUCCGUCCUUGGCCGACAGGCCCGGGCAAUCUUUGAACGCUGAUCGUGAUGGGGAUAGACUUUUGCAAUUUUUGGUCUUCAACGAGGAAUUCCUAGUAAACGCAAGUCAUCAACUUGCAUUGAUUACGUCCCUGCCCUUUGUACACACCGCCCGUCGCACCUACCGAUCGAAUGGUCCGGUGAAGCCUCCGGAUUGGCGUGCACCCUCGGGUGCUGCCGAGAAGUUGGCUAAACCUUACCAUUUAGAGGAAGGUGAAGUCGUAACA
rnacentral:rRNA from 1 species